rnacentral:misc_RNA from 1 species
AGAGAGAGAGGGAGAGAGAGGGAGAGAGAGCACCUCUAAUGCAAUCACAGCAUCAAACAUCUUUUGCUCCUUAACUAGCUUUUCAGCUGUUGUGCAACAGUAUUCAAUGGUUGAAGUCACUGGGUCCAAUCCAGCAUGAAGACGAGCAAUAUUGAUAUUUUUCUCCAAAGCAUCAAUUCCUGUUACAGUUGCUCCCAUUCGAGCUAAAGGCUCAGAAAGAAUUCCUCCACCACAACCAACAUCAACAAUUUUUAGUCCUUCGAAAGGCCUAACAACAUGUGGAUCCUUCCUGAAAUGUCGACAAAGGGUGGAGCGAAGAAAAGCAAGUCUAGUUGGAUUCAUCGCAUGCAACGGUUUAAAUGCCCCUUCAGAAUCCCACCAGGAAUCAGCAAUGGCUGAAAAUUUCGCAAGCUCGAGGUCCUUCAAAGAUGACGUCGGUUUUGAUUUCUUGUGAGCACUCUUGCCAUUAUCAGGCGGUGAUGAAGGAGGAGAAUGAGGAGGAGUUGAAAUUGGUCGAUGAGAGAAUAGUCUUCUGGUGGCAUUGAGGAGAGGGUUAGGGUUUCGUGCCAUUUUAGGAUCUCGAAUUGCUCCGACUUUCGUCAGCAGCUUCGAGGCCAUGGCUGUGGUCUACAGUAGCAGAGCUAAUUAGC